UGGCUCAGCGGUAGAGUGCUUGCCUCACAUGCAUGAGGCCCUGGGUUCAAUUUCUCAG
rnacentral:tRNA from 1 species